UACGUAGGGGGCUAGCGUUGUCCGGAUUUAUUGGGCGUAAAGAGCGUGUAGGCGGCCAGGUAGGUCUGCUGUGAAAACUCGAGGCUCAACCUCGAGACGUCGGCGGAAACCAUCUGGCUAGAGUCCGGAAGAGGAGAGUGGAAUUCCUGGUGUAGCGGUGAAAUGCGCAGAUAUCAGGAAGAACACCCGUGGCGAAGGCGACUCUCUGGGACGGUACUGACGCUGAGACGCGAAAGCGUGGGGAGCGAACAGG
rnacentral:rRNA from 1 species